UGCCAGCCGCCGCGGUAAUACGGAGGGGGCUAGCGUUGUUCGGAAUUACUGGGCGUAAAGGGCGUGUAGGCGGUCUAUCGAGUCAGGCGUGAAAGCCCCGGGCUUAACCUGGGAACUGCGUUUGAUACUGGUAGACUAGAGGUUGGAAGAGGAGAGUGGAAUUCCCAGUGUAGAGGUGAAAUUCGUAGAUAUUCGGAGGAACACCAGUGGCGAAGGCGGCUCACUGGGUCUCUUCUGACACUGAGGCACGAAAGCUAGGGUAGCGAACGGGAUUAGAUA
rnacentral:rRNA from 1 species